UAUUGACUGCCGAAGACAGUAGGUGCCGUAAGGUUUAAAGUGACAACGCCUACCGAGGAACGUACAAUUCUGAAUGAGAUUUGUCGCCUCUCUGUGUUUUCGCAGAGAGUUUUUUUU
rnacentral:sRNA from 1 species